GAUGAACGCUGGCGGCGUGCCUAAUACAUGCAAGUCGAGCGAACAGACGAGGAGCUUGCUCCUCUGACGUUAGCGGCGGACGGGUGAGUAACACGUGGAUAACCUACCUAUAAGACUGGGAUAACUUCGGGAAACCGGAGCUAAUACCGGAUAAUAUAUUGAACCGCAUGGUUCAAUAGUGAAAGACGGUUUUGCUGUCACUUAUAGAUGGAUCCGCGCCUCAUUAGCUAGUUGGUAAGGUAACGGCUUACCAAGGCAACGAUGCGUAGCCGACCUGAGAGGGUGAUCGGCCACACUGGAACUGAGACACGGUACAGACUCCUACGGGAGGCAGCAGUAGGGAAUCUUCCGCAAUGGGCGAAAGCCUGACGGAGCAACGCCGCGUGAGUGAUGAAGGUCUUCGGAUCGUAAAACUCUGUUAUUAGGGAAGAACAAAUGUGUAAGUAACUAUGCACGUCUUGACGGUACCUAAUCAGAAAGCCACGGCUAACUACGUG
rnacentral:rRNA from 1 species